GACGUAGGAUGCAAGCGUUGUCCGGAAUUAUUGGGCGUAAAGAGUUCGUAGGUGGCAUAUCAAGUCUGGUGUUAAAGCCCGGAGCUCAACUCCGGUUCGGCACUGGAUACUGAUAAGCUAGAGUGCAGUAGAGGCAAGGGGAAUUCCCAGUGUAGCGGUGAAAUGCGUAGAUAUUGGGAGGAACACCAGUGGCGUAAGCGCCUUGCUGGGCUGUAACUGACGCUGAGGAACGAAAGCCAGGGGAGCAAAUGGG
rnacentral:rRNA from 1 species